ensembl:lncRNA
UUUAAUAAUACAACAACAACUACUACUACUAGUAGUAGCAUUGUUAUAACCUUAGCUUUAUCAUAAUAAUUAAUCAACCUUUUUAAUUGUUUUUAUUAUUAUUAUUAUUAUUUUGCUAUUCUAAUAAUAAUUAUUUUUAUUAUUUAUUAAUUUUUUAUUGAUAUUUAUUGAUAUUUGGAUACAGUGACUCCUUUGGGCAAUCUUUUCCAGAAAUCCAACCUGGAAUUUCUUGAAUUGCAGUAUUCUGACCAAACGUGGUUUAUUUGAAUUGGAGUGAAGGUUCAUUUCACAGGCACAGUAACUAGAGUACCUCUGAUAAACCCCAGCACCCCUCUCUGUAGAGAAGUGAACUGUUGACAUGAUCAGCAGAUGGACAUGACUGUUUGGUUAAUGAUUAGAGGAGAUGUUAUAACAUUGGCUUCACUUACCUGUGAGCAAAGUGCCAGUGACACAAACAACAGCACAGAUUCCUGACAGGAGUUGGUGUGUGAAAGAGGAGGAAUGCAGAAACAGCCGAUCUGGCAGCGUGUAAUGAGGCACACCUGAAGUGAAUGGAGCCUAAUCACCGCCGCUGUUAAAAGCUGAGCGCGCCUCUCCUCAAGAGAACGGUACGCGAGCCGUUGGACCUGCUGUUUUGAAUGGGACUGCACCCUUGACGUGGUCGAUGGGCCUGGAGGCUGGGCUGUUAUUCUCCCCCCAAGCGCCGUGGGCCAGGAAAAAUGAGUCACUGUGACGAAGCCGCCACUCAUUGCGCCCUGGACCAGAGAGGGGAGCACGUGCAGCCGCCGGACUCGGGCCUCUACCUGGACCCCAACUUUCUAAACAUUGACCUUCCUUCACAAUUCCCUGGCACAACAAGGACACCAGAUCCCCUGUUUAUUUUGGACACUAUUUCCCCUCAGAACCCUUUAAUCCCAUUUUGGAUAUUUUGUGUGAUUCUGUUAAAUAAAAU